CCAUUGAGGCAUGAUAGUUCAGGGAAUUCGGCCAAUUAGAGCUGUAACUUCGGGAUAAAGCUUGGCUCUGAUGAAAAUCAGAACCGAUUGUUACGCGGAGAGCCCAACUGUUUAAUAAAAACGUAGUGUCGCGCUGUGGUAGUAUAGCCAGUGAACGCGACAUGAAUCCUGCUCAGUGCUGUGUCUGUUAAUAUGGUUCAAGCCAACGAAGCACCGGUAAAUAGCUGGGGUAACUAUGACUCUUAUCAAAGUAGCGAAAUACCUCGUCACUUAAUUAGUGACCUGCAUGAACGGAGCUAUGAGGUUCUCACUGUCCCAAACUGUCUCUCAGCGAACCAACUGUAGUGGGAACGGUCACUAGAUAUCCAGCGGGGAAAGAAGACCCUGUAGAGCUUCACUUUGGUCUAGUCUUGUAUAGUUCCUGCGGGGGUGUAGACUAGGUGGGAGAGCAAUCGAUUCUGAAAAACCACUACCCUGUUUGGAAUUAUGCUUACCUAUCACAAGGAAUAGGACUAGAUAGAAAGUUUGGCUGGGGCGGCACACCUUCGAAAGAGCAGCGAAGGUGUCCUAAGUUGAGCUCAGUGAGGACAGAAAUCUCACGUUGAGGAUAAGGCCAAAAGCUCAAUUUACUGUGCCUUUUUGUACUAGGAUCAGUUACGAAAGUAAGGCCUAACGAUCCCUAAAUAGCCUCAGGUGCGUGAGGAUUGGGGUGACAGACAAGUUACCUCCGGGACAACUGGCUUGUGGCUGCUAAGAGAUCAAAUCAACGCAGCUUUUUGAUUCUUCGAUGUCGGCUCUUCCUAUCCUAGUGAUGUACAAGUUGCUAAGGGUCGGAUUGUUCACCCGUAUUAGGGAUCGUGAGCUGGGUUUAGACCGUCGUGAGCCAGGUUUGUUUUAUCCUACUGGAUAUAGCAUCAUGAUAGUAGAUUGAUUUAGUACGAGAGGAACUGUUGAUUAUGGCCUCUGGUUAGCGAUUAUCGGAAACGGUAUGUCGCGCAGCUACGCCGUCUGGGAUAUGGCUGAAAGCCUCUUAAGCCAGAAGCCCAUCUAGAAAGUGAU
rnacentral:ncRNA from 1 species